rnacentral:rRNA from 1 species
GAUGAACGCUAGCGGCAGGCUUAAUACAUGCAAGUCGUGGGGCAGCAGGUUUGUAGCAAUACAGAUGCUGGCGACCGGCAAACGGGUGCGGAACACGUACAGAACCUUCCUUUGAGCGGGGAAUAGCCCAGAGAAAUUUGGAUUAAUACCCCAUAGUAUAAUGAAGUGGCAUCACUUUAUUAUUAAAGAUUUAUCACUCGAAGAUGGCUGUGCGGCUGAUUAGGUAGUUGGCGGGGUAAAGGCCCACCAAGCCUGCGAUCAGUAACUGGUGUGAGAGCACGACCAGUCACACGGGCACUGAGACACGGGCCCGACUCCUACGGGAGGCAGCAGUAAGGAAUAUUGGUCAAUGGAGGCAACUCUGAACCAGCCAUGCCGCGUGGAGGAUGAAGGUCCUCUGGAUUGUAAACUUCUUUUAUAUGGACGAAAAAAGGCUUUUCUAAGUCGUCUGACGGUACCAUAUGAAUAAGCACCGGCUAACUCCGUGCCAGCAGCCGCGGUAA